UACGGAGGAUCCAAGCGUUUAUCCGGAAUCAUUGGGUUUAAAGGGUCCGUAGGCGGUUUAGUAAGUCAGUGGUGAAAGCCCAUCGCUCAACGGUGGAACGGCCAUUGAUACUGCUAGACUUGAAUUAUUAGGAAGUAACUAGAAUAUGUAGUGUAGCGGUGAAAUGCUUAGAGAUUACAUGGAAUACCAAUUGCGAAGGCAGGUUACUACUAAUGGAUUGACGCUGAUGGACGAAAGCGUGGGUAGCG
rnacentral:rRNA from 1 species